CCUCACGGGUAAUUGCGCUUAGUACGGCGAGUGAGCGGCAAAAGCUCAAAUUUGAAAUCUGGCACCUUCGGUGUCCGAGUUGUAAUUUGAAGAAGGUAACUUUGGAGUUGGCUCUUGUCUAUGUUCCUUGGAACAGGACGUCACAGAGGGUGAGAAUCCCGUGCGAUGAGAUGCCCAAUUCUAUGUAAAGUGCUUUCGAAGAGUCGAGUUGUUUGGGAAUGCAGCUCUAAGUGGGUGGUAAAUUCCAUCUAAAGCUAAAUAUUGGCGAGAGACCGAUAGCGAACAAGUACAGUGAUGGAAAGAUGAAAAGAACUUUGAAAAGAGAGUGAAAAAGUACGUGAAAUUGUUGAAAGGGAAGGGCUUGAGAUCAGACUUGGUAUUUUGCGAUCCUUUCCUUCUUGGUUGGGUUCCUCGCAGCUUACUGGGCCAGCAUCGGUUUGGAUGGUAGGAUAAUGACUAAGGAAUGUGGCUCUACUUCGGUGGAGUGUUAUAGCCUUGGUUGAUACUGCCUGUCUAGACCGAGGACUGCGUCUUUUGACUAGGAUGUUGGCAUAAUGAUCUUAAGCCACCCCUCUUGAACAACUGACCAAAAAAACCCGGGAAAUUGGUUAGCUUGCCGUGAAUUUCACCACCCAAAUUACCCCUCCAAUUCCAAGGAACGCGACUCUCAGAGGGGACG
rnacentral:rRNA from 1 species